rnacentral:rRNA from 1 species
UACGUAGGGUGCAAGCGUUAAUCGGAAUUACUGGGCGUAAAGCGUGCGCAGGCGGUGAUGUAAGACAGAUGUGAAAUCCCCGGGCUCAACCUGGGAACUGCAUUUGUGACUGCAUCGCUGGAGUGCGGCAGAGGGGGAUGGAAUUCCGCGUGUAGCAGUGAAAUGCGUAGAUAUGCGGAGGAACACCGAUGGCGAAGGCAGCCUCCUGGGCCAACACUGACGCUCAUGCACGAAAGCGUGGGGAGCAAACAGG